GCAGAACCUUACCAACGUUUGACAUCCCUAUCGCGGAUCGUGGAGACACUUUCCUUCAGUUCGGCUGGAUAGGUGACAGGUGCUGCAUGGCUGUCGUCAGCUCGUGUCGUGAGAUGUUGGGUUAAGUCCCGCAACGAGCGCAACCCUCGCCUUUAGUUGCCAGCAUUUAGUUGGGUACUCUAAAGGAACCGCCGGUGAUAAGCCGGAGGAAGGUGGGGAUGACGUCAAGUCCUCAUGGCCCUUACGCGUUGGGCUACACACGUGCUACAAUGGCGACUACAGUGGGCAGCCACCUCGCGAGAGGGAGCUAAUCUCCAAAAGUCGUCUCAGUUCGGAUCGUUCUCUGCAACUCGAGAGCGUGAAGGCGGAAUCGCUAGUAAUCGCGGAUCAGCAUGCCGCGGUGAAUACGUUCCCAGGCCUUGUACACACCGCCCGUCACACCAUGGGAGUUGGAUUCACUCGAAGGCGUUGAGCUAACCGUAAGGAGGCAGGCGACCACAGUGGGUUUAGCGACUGGGGUGAAGUCGUAACAAGGUAGCC
rnacentral:rRNA from 1 species